GAUGAACGCUGGCGGCGUGCCUAAUACAUGCAAGUCGAGCGAACAGACGAGGAGCUUGCUCCUCUGACGUUAGCGGCGGACGGGUGAGUAACACGUGGAUAACCUACCUAUAAGACUGGGAUAACUUCGGGAAACCGGAGCUAAUACCGGAUAAUAUAUUGAACCGCAUGGUUCAAUAGUGAAAGACGGUUUUGCUGUCACUUAUAGAUGGAUCCGCGCCGCAUUAGCUAGUUGGUAAGGUAACGGCUUACCAAGGCAACGAUGCGUAGCCGACCUGAGAGGAUGAUCGGCCACACUGGAACUGAGACACGGUCCAGACUCCUACGGGAGGCAGCAGUAGGGAAUCUUCCGCAAUGGGCGAAAGCCUGACGGAGCAACGCCGCGUGAGUGAUGAAGGUCUUCUGAUCGUAAAACUCUGUUAUUAGGGAAGAACAAAUGUGUAAGUAACUAUGCACGUCUUGACGGUACCUAAUCAGAAAGCCACGGCUAGCUACGUG
rnacentral:rRNA from 1 species